AUGAUGGGACUCCUCAUCCGCUGCCUGUGCCUGAUACUCUGGGGGUUACAUUCCGGCCGGUCGGCAGAUGUGGUCCAGACGCCUCCAUUAUUGGUGGCUAAGAUUGGGCAGAACGUCUCCCUGAACUGCUCCCAUGAUGAGUCCAGCCAUAUCACAAAGUACUGGUACCGGAAGAAGUACGGAACCAUUGGUAUUAUUGGGUAUUCGUAUAAUGCAGGAGAACCGGAUAUGGAGAAGGAGUUUCCCAAGGAGAAGAUGCAGAUGGUCCCUGAUUCUCCUCAGAAGACCACCCUGCGCAUCUACCACCUGUCCGUCCAGGACGGCGCCAUCUAUUACUGCGCCAGCAGCAUCCACAGCGAGGAAAGAGGACGGCGAGACUGUGCAGAACCAGAGCAAUGA